UUUGACAAAUAAAAAAAAGUGUUAGUAGAUUUUUUCUCCAUUUGACAAAUAAAAAAAAGUGUUAGUAUAUUUUUUCUCCAUUUGACAAAUAAAAAAAAAGUGUUAGUUUAUUUUUUGUUAAUUUGUUAAAUGUGUUAAAUGUGUUAAGUGUGUUAAGUAUGUUAAGUGUGUGAUUUUGUUUGACCAUAUAUUGUGCGGAAGUUGUACUUUUUAAUAAAAAAGUUGUAUUACAAUUGGAAACGAGUCUUAUAUCUUACCGGUUUUAUUUUAUUAUUAUAUUAUAUUAUAUUAUAUUAUAUUAUUUUUUUUUUUUAUUUUUUUUUUUUUUUUUUUUGUGUGUGUCUAGCUUUAUAAACACUUGUAACUAUUUUGUUGGUUGUUCAUUUGUCCAUUUAUCUGUUUUCCCACUCACUUAUAAAACCUGUCCGAGUGUUACAAAAAAUGUGUUACCUUAAGAGAAGCUUAAGUAAGAGCAUAAACUCUUUAGUGAUCCAUUUCGAAUUUGUAAAAUGUAAAAACUUAAAUAAUUAUACAAAAAAAAGGAAGGUACUACUUGAUCAUAUCUUAUGACCAAUUAAUUUUUUACGAAAAGGAUUUUUAUGAAAUACAAUUCAAAAUUUUAUUUUCUGACAUUUCCCAAAUUUAUCAUUGUGAUAAGUCCAACUAUAUACAUAUUAUUUUAAAAAAACGAGCGGUAAUAAAAGUAGAUGAUAUGUUUACAUACGUCCAUAGUUAUUUGUUUUAUUUGUUUGUUUGUUUGUUUGUUUUUGUUUUUGUUUUUGUUUUUGUUUUUGUUUUUGUUUUUGUUCUAUUUUCCCUGUUUACUUACAUCUUCCGUAGGUAACAAACAAUAUAGGGAUAAAGUCAAUAAACAAAAACGUUUUGAUAAAACAUUUAUGUGUUGGUUAUAGCACAUAUUAUAUGUGUCGACUUAACAGGAAUGUAUAUAUGCCUAUAACUAACGAAACAUAUGAAGAAAGAUGUGAACGGACUAAACAAAAAUUUGCAGUUCUCAAACUUGAUCGUUCUAUACAACCAUUUAUAGGGUUUGUCUUGAAAUUAUAUAUAUAUAUAUAUAUAUAUAUAUAUAUAUAUACGUGUAUAUACAUAUUCACUCACAAGAUCAUAUACAUAGGGUGUACAUUUAUUUUUUUUUAUAUUAUACUAUUUUUUUUUUUUUUUGUUAGGUAUAAGAAAGUCAUAAUUGAUGACUACUAUGUUUUUAUUCAAAAGUCAUUUCAGUGUGAGCACACACAAAAAAAAAAAAAAAAAGUCGUAUAAUUAAACAGUUGUAUAUGUAAUGUGUUUAAGUUUCUACUAAUAUUUAAAAUAUUAUAAAAUACUGUGUUUAAUUUUAAUUACUAUUCAAAUUGAAAUUUGAAAAACAUGACAACAUCAUGGUUUUGAAUAUACAAUUGUUAUUAAACUGGUCUCCUCUUAUUUUUACUUUUUUUUUUUUUUUUUUUUUUUUUUUUUUUUUUAAUUAGGCUUCACGUCUGUUUCAGCAGAAAAUGCUCUUUACAUUGAUCAUCGUAGUAAUUCAUAAAAAUAAGAACCUCAAACUAUUAACUUAAUAACAUUAUUACAAAUCAAAUUAAAUUAGUACAUUUUAAGUACUAAAUUGAACAGUUUGUUACCUGUACGUUCACACACAUAUAUAUAAAUAUAUAUAUACACAUUUUUAUUAUAGACAUUGAAAUAUGCAUAAAAAUAGAUCAUCAAAAAAGUAUGGUUGAGUUUGACCAGGUUACAUAAAAAAAAAAAAAAAAAAAAAAAAAAUACAUGCAUAUAUACUCCUACGCAUAUAGUACUACACAAAUAUGUGACAUGCAUAAUUGUAACAAACUUAUUAAUUGUUCAGACCCCCGAUAGUAACUUUUAUCAGUUAGCUAGGAAACAUCUAAGUUUUUUAACAGUAAUGAAUAAAUAAAAACAACUAUAAAUCUAUAGAAGUAUA
rnacentral:lncRNA from 1 species